GGCUCCCUGUAGGGUUUUUUUGGUUUGUUUGUUUGGUUGGUUGGUUUUUGGUUUUUGGUAAAUUGGUAAUACUGAACUUGUAAUGCAAUGUCUGGUGCAGUAUAAACAAAUAAGUGAAAUGACCUUCAGGACACAGUACAAAUGCUCAUGACAUGCAUGGGAAGUCAUUCUGUUAUGGUAAUUUGGAGAUCUAGACAGGAUCUUAAAAGUCAUCCAAUCUCUAUAGCUAAGGAAAUGUGUACUGUAUACUGCUAAUCUGAAGAACUGAAAACAUGAUAUUAGGCUGUAAUUACAACCAAAUGUUUAACUGAACAAAUCUAGCCUCCAAGGUUUCUUUAAGCAUCUUUCACUUCCCUUUGGUCUCUAACCUCUUCCCCUCACUGUCCAGGUUGCUUUCUUUGCCUGCUUGGCUGAGAUUAGCAUCCAUCCUCUGCCCACUUUCCCAGAUGGAAAAGUGGCAUCAUCGGGAGCUUGGCACUCGGCAGGAUAGGACACAGCUGGAGUACCCCACAAAGUACUCCACGUAAGGGUGGAGCCGCCGCCAUAAUGCACAUUUUUGUGAAGACCCUUACGCUCCGCUCGCCUUGUGGCCAAAGCCUCAGACACUAUAGAACGUGUAAGGCUAAGAUCCAGGAUAAGGAGAGAAUCCCUCUUGACCAACCGAGGCUGAAGUUUGCUGGUAAGCAGCUGGAAGAUGGCUGUGGUUUGUCUGACUACAACAUUCAAUAGGAUUCCAUCCUGUGUCUUGUGUUGAGACUUCAAGGUGAUGCUAAGAAAAGGAAGAAGUCUUACACCACUCCCAAAAAAGAAUAAGCAUAAGAGGAAGGAGGUUAAGUUGGUUGUGCUGAAAUACUAUAAGGUGGAUGAAAAUGGCAAAAUUAGCCGACUUCGUCGAGAGUGUCCUUCUGAUGAGUGUGGUGCUGGAGUUUUCAUGGGAAGCCACUUUAACAGACAUUUCUGUGGCAAGUGUUGUCUGACUUACUGCUUCAACAAACCAGAGGACAAAUAGUUGUGUAUGCAUUAAUAAAAAGGAGGAACUAGGAGGAACUGAAAACAAAACAAAGCAAAACAAAAAACACAUGGGUAUUCUAGAAGUUCUCUGAUCAGAUGUAUUUGGAUAUCUUAGUUUAAUAGUUGUCUGUGAGUGCCCAACGAGAGCAAGUUAAAUAUUGAAGAAACCAGAAAAACAAAAGGACAUUACCAACACAGCAACUUGAUUCCUGAGUGGGGUUCGUAUGAUAAAUUUAACUUCAGCUAUAGAACCAGACCAAAAAGUUUUACAAAACAAAAUACCAUGACAUUCAUUUACUGGAAAACUAUUCUGAGUGCACAAUAUGAACCAGCAUUGUAUAAGUCGCAAGAAAUGCUCUACAGGUGAGGGAAAUGGAACAAAUUACCUACAGAGUGUCCCUACAAAAGCUCGGAGCUGAACAGGAAAAACCAGAAUCAACUAGAAGUGGUGGGUGCACCAGACAGAUUUGUUAGUGUGAACAUUUUUUUCUUUCUCCAUUUUCAUGUAUGUGUGAGGGUGCAUGCAUGUAUGCAUGUUUGCAUCUGUGUGGGUACAUGUGACUAUGGGUGCUGGCCCAUACAUGUGUACGAGCAUUGGAGGCAUAAGGGUGAUGUCAGAAAUCAUCCUCCAUCAUUUUCUUCCACCAUCCAUGGAGGCAGGGUCUCUCAAUCAAAACCUAAGCUUGCUGACAUGGCAAGACUUAUUCUGAGAUCCCCAUCUCUGCCUCCUGAGACUGCACUUAGGUGGACUGCCGUGCCGCCUUGGCAUGUAUUUGGGUUCUGGGUACCAGCCCUCCAGUCCUCACACUUGUACAGCAAGCGCUUUAACCACUAAACCACCGCUCCUGAAUUGACCAUGUAUUUCAUGGUACCCAUUAGGUGCAUGUGUGUAUAUGCCUUCACAUGAGAGGCUGCAUAUGGAGGCCAGAUGGCAAUCUUGAGCAUGCCCUAGAAGAGCCAUCCCCCUUUCUUUUGAGACUGGGUCUCUUGCUGGCCUGAACUUUGCCAAGUAGGCUGGGCUGGCUGGCCAUCAAGCUUCUGUAUUGCUGGGAUUAUAAGCAUAUAUCAAUUCCUUUUUCUCCAUGGAUUCUGAAUAUCUAUUCCAGGCUUCAUGCUUGUGUGGUGAUUGAACAUUUAUUUUAAAUUUAAAAAGGCAGGCCUGCCCUGUUGUGUAUAUAAAACCGCUUUGUUUGAUUGUUUCUUU
rnacentral:lncRNA from 1 species